ACGAACGCUGGCGGCGUGCCUAAUCCCUGCAAGUAGCACGCUGAAGGCGGAGCUUGCUUCUCUGGAUGAGUUGCGAACGGGUGAGUAACGCGUAGGUAACCUGCCUGUAGCGGGGGAUAACUAUUGGAAACGAUAGCUAAUACCGCAUAAGAGUAGAUGUUGCAUGACAUUUGCUUAAAAGGUGCAAUUGCAUCACUACCAGAUGGACCUGCGUUGUAUUAGCUAGUUGGUGGGGUAACGGCUUACCAAGGCGACGAUACAUAGCCGACCUGAGAGGGUGAUCGGCCACACUGGGACUGAGACACGGCCCAGACUCCUACGGGAGGCAGCAGUAGGGAAUCUUCGGCAAUGGACGGAAGUCUGACCGAGCAACGCCGCGUGAGUGAAGAAGGUUUUCGGAUCGGAAAGCUCUGUUGUAAGAGAAGAACGAGUGUGAGAGUGGAAAGUUCACACUGUGACGGUAACUUACCAGAAAGGGACGGCUAACUACGUG
rnacentral:rRNA from 1 species